GGCAUGUCUGUGCCUAGGAACAGCCAGCCUGGUCAUUGCUGAUUUCCCCCAGGACAGCUUGCAGCUCUGAGGUGAGAGGUGCCAGAACACCACCCUGAACCCCUAUGACCUCUUGGCCCUGAAACCAUCGCUUGGGGAAACACUGCAACUCCAGGAAGGUACUUAACUGGGGUAGAAGAAAGUUGUUUGCAACUGAAGCCUGCAGUGGAUGAUUUUGAUAAGGAGUAUUGCAUUAAAUUCAGCAAACCAGAAUAAUACCUACUGUGUCCUGUAUGUGAACCCUGUAUUGGCACUGCUGUGAUUGGAUGACAGUCACCAUUCAGCCAAUAAAGAUGGAUUUGGACGUCUGCAGCCUUUCAAGAAGGAGAUUGCCCUCUCUCAGCUCAAUGUUCUGAGUGCUGUCAAUGAGGUCAUACAUAUGUUCUCACUAAUAUAAUGGUCGCUUCAGUUUAACCAUCAAGAUAUUGAUUUCACCCUUGGGAAACUACCAAGCUGGGCGUCAUUAAAAUAACAUUUGCCACUUCACA